CUUUCUUUGCUGGCGACCGGCGCACGGGUGAGUAACACGUAUCCAACCUGCCCUUUACUCGGGGAUAGCCUUUCGAAAGAAAGAUUAAUACCCGAUAGCAUAAUGAUUCCGCAUGGUUUCAUUAUUAAAGGAUUCCGGUAAAGGAUGGGGAUGCGUUCCAUUAGGUUGUUGGUGGGGUAACGGCUCACCAAGCCUUCGAUGGAUAGGGGUUCUGAGAGGAAGGUCCCCCACAUUGGAACUGAGACACGGUCCAA
rnacentral:rRNA from 1 species